AGUAAAGGAACAUCAGUCCUGGGGUUGGGAUGAAGGAGGAUCGACUCCCCAAAGUGAGGAGGCACUUUUCCA
rnacentral:pre_miRNA from 1 species